GACGAACGCUGGCGGCGUGCCUAAUACAUGCAAGUAGAACGCUGAAGAGAGGAGCUUGCUCUUCUUGGAUGAGUUGCGAACGGGUGAGUAACGCGUAGGCAACCUGCCCUCAGGAUGGGGACAACGGCUCGAAAGAGCCGCUAAUACCGAAUGACGUAACUCUUCCACAUGGAAGAGAUACUAAAGAUGGGUCAAACCAUCGCCUAAGGAUGGGCCUGCGUCUGAUUAGCCAGUUGGUGAGGUAACGGCUCACCAAAGCGACGAUCAGUAGCCGGUCUGAGAGGAUGAACGGCCACAAUGGGACUGAGACACGGCCCAUACUCCUACGGGAGGCAGCAGUGGGGAAUCUUCCGCAAUGGGCGAAAGCCUGACGGAGCAACGCCGCGUGAGUGAAGAAGGUCUUCGGAUCGUAAAGCUCUGUUGUCGGGGACGAAAGAGUAGACGAGGAAAUGCGUCUACUAAGACGGUACCUGACGAGGAAGCCACGGCUACUCUC
rnacentral:rRNA from 1 species